rnacentral:rRNA from 1 species
CUACGGGUCGCUGCAGUAGGGAAUUUUGCGCAAUGGGGGAAACCCUGACGCAGCGACGCCGCGUGAGUGAAGAAGGCCUUCGGGUUGUAAAGCUCUGUCAGAAGGGACGAAUAAUUGGGGUCUAAUAGGCCCACAAGAUGACGGUACCUUCAGAGGAAGCACCGGCUAACUCUGUGCCAGCAGCCGCGGUAAUACAGAGGGUGCAAGCGUUAUUCGGAAUUACUGGGCGUAAAGCGCAUGUAGGUGGGAUAUCAAGUCAGGUGUGAAAUCCCGGAGCUCAACUUCGGAAUUGCAUUUGGAACUGAUAUUCUUGAGAUUGGGAGAGGAAAGUGGAAUUCCAGGUGUAGAGGUGAAAUUCGUAGAUAUCUGGAGGAACACCAGAGGCGAAGGCGGCUUUCUGGCCCAAUACUGACACUCAGAUGCGAAAGCGUGGGUAGCAAACAGGAUUAGAUACCCCCGUAGUC